GAUGAACGCUGGCGGCGUGCCUAAUACAUGCAAGUCGAGCGAACAGACGAGGAGCUUGCUCCUCUGACGUUAGCGGCGGACGGGUGAGUAACACGUGGAUAACCUACCUAUAAGACUGGGAUAACUUCGGGAAACCGGAGCUAAUACCGGAUAAUAUAUUGAACCGCAUGGUUCAAUAGUGAAAGACGGUUUUGCUGUCACUUAUAGAUGUAUCCGCUCCGCAUUAGCUAGUUGGUAAGGUAACGGCUUACCAAGGCAACGAUGCGUAGCCGACCUGAGAGGGUGAUCGGCAACACUGGAACUGGGCAACGGUCCAGACUCCUCCGGGAGGCAGCAGAAGGGAAUCUUCGGAAAUGGGCGAAAGCCUGACGGUGCAACGCCGCGUGAGGAAGGAAGGUCUUCGGAUCGUAAAACUCUGUUAUUAGGGAAGACCAAAUGUGUAAGUAACUAUGCACGUCUUGACGGUACCUAAUCAGAAAGCCACGGCUAACUACGUG
rnacentral:rRNA from 1 species